rnacentral:rRNA from 1 species
GUCGUCAGCUCGUGUUGUGAAAUGUUGGGUUAAGUCCCGCAACGAGCGCAACCCUUAUCCUUUGUUGCCAGCGGUCCGGCCGGGAACUCAAAGGAGACUGCCAGUGAUAAACUGGAGGAAGGUGGGGAUGACGUCAAGUCAUCAUGGCCCUUACGAGUAGGGCUACACACGUGCUACAAUGGCAUAUACAAAGAGAAGCGACCUCGCGAGAGCAAGCGGACCUCAUAAAGUAUGUCGUAGUCCGGAUUGGAGUCUGCAACUCGACUCCAUGAAGUCGGAAUCGCUAGUAAUCGUGGAUCAGAAUGCCACGGUGAAUACGUUCCCGGGCCUUGUACACACCGCCCGUCACACCAUGGGAGUGGGUUGCAAAAGAAGUAGGUAGCUUAACCUUCGGGAGGGCGCUUACCACUUUGUGAUUCAUGACUGGGGUGAAGUCGUAACAAGGUAACCGUAGGGGAACCUGC